UACAGAGGGGGCAAGCGUUGUUCGGAAUUACUGGGCGUAAAGGGCGCGUAGCGGCCGCCUAAGUCAGACGUGAAAUCCCUCGGCUCAACCGAGGAAUUGCGCCCUAAACUGCUGUGCUUGAGGAACCUAGAGGUGAGCGGAACUGAUGGUGGAGCGGUGAAAUGCGUUGAUAUCAUCAGGAACACCGGAGGCGAAGGCGGCUCACUGGGGGGUUAUCUGACGCUGAGGAACGAAAGCCAGGGGAGCGAACGGG
rnacentral:rRNA from 1 species